rnacentral:rRNA from 1 species
ACUCCUGCGGGAGGCAGCAGUGGGGAAUUUUACGCAAUGGGGGAAACCCUGACGUAGCGACACCGCGUGAGCGAAGAAGCCCUUUGGGGUGUAAAGCUCUGUCAGCUGGAACGAAAACAAUGACGGUACCAGCAGAGGAAGCAUCGGCUAACUACGUGCCAGCAGCCGCGGUAAGACGUAGGAUGCGAGCGUUGUCCGGAUUUAUUGGGCGUAAAGAGUUCGUAGGUGGUUUGUUAAGUUUGGUGUUAAAGAUCGGGGCUCAACCCUGGGACUGCACUGAAUACUGGCAGACUCGAGUGUGGUAGAGGCUAGUGGAAUUCCCAGUGUAGCGGUGAAAUGCGUAGAUAUUGGGAAGAACACCGGUGGCGUAGGCGACUAGCUGGGCCAUAACUGACGCUGAGGAACGAAAGCCAGGGGAGCGAAUGGGAUUAGAAACCCGUGUAGUCCCAUG